UGUUUUGCAUCAUGUACUUCAGCCAGCUAAUUCAUCUGUGAGGGACCGCCUCCUCUAGCUGAUGUGGGUCCAGCUGUGGAAACAGCUCCAAUGUCAUCUGUGUCCACUUUCAUUCCAUUCUUCUGAUCUCACGGAUCUCAGAGACCACAUCCAAGUCCGUUAAAAAACAGAACAUACCAUGAAGAGACCUGAGAGCAUCCUUUAAGGACAUUUUUAGGAGAAGACUCGAGCACUUUAGGGAGAGUGAGAGGGAUCUGGAAAUCUGUUUGCUGCCCUAAUGCCAGACGAUGAGCAGGAUUGGAAGUUAUGAUUAGGCGGUACAGCUCGUCCAAGUCCCAGCCAGUGAACUGGUGUCUUGACCACAUUCAUAUUUGGGGGAAGAAUACAAGCAUAUGGAUUGGACCAAACAGUUGUGAAACUCUCCAUAUUCUUCGUUAGGAGAAACAUGCCAAGAAAGACUCAGCGGAAACACUGGCAGCCCAUCCAAAAAGAGUGCCUACCUCUUGAACAUGCCCAAGCCAUUCAUCCUUGGUUCAUGAUGCUCAUAAUCUCUCCCUCCCAUUGCCCCCUUCUCUCCUCCAAUCAAGUUGGCAAAAACAAAAGUGCUCAGAGUGAGAAAAUGAAAACCAUAUCAGCAACAAAAAAUGCAUUUCUUUCCUCCAAUCGUGAGCAAAGGGAACCGAUCCUGGGCUGGACCAAGCUCCUGCACCAAGCAAGAACUGCCCACGUCUGCUUUGCCCUGAUUGUGGACAAAAUAUGCUUUUAUGGAUGGGAAUCAUCGCUAUAAUGAUACAUGCAGGAAAGGCACAGCUAGGAAAAAAAUAAAUAAAAGGAAUAAUAAAGUAAUAUCAAAGACCAAAAUAUGAUCUCAAACAGAAGAAUCCUUAGAGGGAAUCAGCUGGAACAUAAGCAAAACCAGAAAGAUUUUGAGAAUUAAAUGAAAAAGAUGGUAAUUACACUUGAAGUCCUUGCCCAAAGAGGAAUUUAUGGCUGCUGGUAGUUAAGGACUGCUAUACAUGGGAGAUAAGGUAUGACUGAAGUGUACAAGGACACUUGAAUUUUUUGUUUCCUUAUUAUAUUCAUCCUGUCUUUGUCCAUUUGGAAACCUCUCCUUCUUAUCAAAUGAGACCCCCCUGGAGAUGCAAGUGAGGCUGACAUACCUGAUAUGUGGACACAGGGGAAGCAGCAAUGAAUGGCGUGAUAGAUGUCUGGGGAAUCAUGCGGUUUGUUGCAAUACUGUACGGUGAAGAAUAAAAUCUGCAAACAGAAAGAACAAAGAUCCAUGAAGCACCUGCACUGCUCUUCCCCAUCACCUACCCUGCCCUCCUAUUGGGAAGCCUCGGGCAACAGGGGUGGGAGUGAGGAGAGGGGUUGAGCCACUUGCUGCAAGAAGAGACUCUUUGGGUCCUUUUGAAACCUUGAUCUUUAAAAAUCUCACCACAAUUGAAGAAUAAAAUAGUCUUUAACCAUUUUUUAAAGCCAAGUGAUUCUGGGAAUUGA